rnacentral:lncRNA from 1 species
GACCUGUAAUAAUUUCUUUAAUUUAAUUUCAAUUCUAUAUUACUUUAUUUUAUCAAUUUUUAUUUUUAUUAAUUUUUUUUUUUGACAUUGCUUCUCGCUAUUUCGAAUUAUUUCAAUUUUUAGCAGGGUCUGUCAAGUUUGUUCUACGAAUUGCAUUAAGGUGGGCUUGAAAACAAGAGAGAGUCAACGACAUCAGAGUAAAAGAGAUAAAUAUAUAAUGUUGCCACCAAAAAUACAAUUUCGUAUUCUCCCUAAUAAUGAGCGUAUAAAUUGAUUUUUAAAGUAAAUUACCCUUGAAGAUACUUUUAGCUAUUAUUCUAAUGCCAAAAAAUAUACUUAGUUGAGAAAUAUUAGAUAUAAAAUUUAAUAUUACUUAUUAGAAAAUAUAUAUGGGGGAUUAUGUGUGGCAACACUAAUGUCCGGACGCCAUAUUGGUUUUGACAUUGUUGACGUCACAAGAAAAAUGUCUGCGGCCGGUUGCGCACCAUUUUAUCUUGUACUAAUGUUUAUUUGUAAUAAAUAAACUACUUCCAUUUAAUUCUACAUACAUUGAUAACGUUGAGUCGAGCUUGCUCCUCCGUUGCUGUGUUUUGGUGAAAUUAAGUGUGUAUUUGUGAGAUAUAGACUCGGUGUUGAGACAGUGACUUGUUUGAUUUUGUUUUGUGUUUAAUUCGCGAUGAGUUCACAAAAAGAAAACACAAGAAUCUGCUGCUUGUGUGGAUCUUCACCUUCUAAAGAUCCCAGCAUCACUUUGCAUCGGUUUCCAAAGCCUGGCACUAAAAAUGCUCUGCGUUGUGAAUUAUGGGCAAAGUAUUGCUUCCCAAACGAAGCCUGGUCUUCACCAAAAUUCCAGGACGCACUCCAUAAACAACAUAAGAUGCUAUGCAGCAAACAUUUCAAAAGCACAUGCUUUAAUGAGAAGAAGUUGUUCAGAACAGCUGUACCUGAUGUUCAAUAUAUAAUUGGUCUAGUGUCUUUCUCUUCCUAAUCAUUUCUAUAAUAAAGAAGAAAUAACACCAACGUUUAUUACACAAUAUGAUAGAAUAAUUUAAACCAUGUCUGUAAACUUGUUGUUUGUUAAACAAAUCGAUAGUAUUCUUUAUUGUAUAAUAACAUAGUCUUGUUUUUUAUAAUAGUAACACUUUAAAACUAACUAGAAUUUUUGUUUGUUUAUGUUUUGAUGUUGAAAUUGUAUGCAAUAGGCCCAUCCAUACUUGUUAUUUUGGACGAAAAUGUCUGAAAUACCUACCUAAAUUGAUUAAAUUCAUGUAUUUUAAAAUUCAUUACAUAGGUGCACAUACUUGUGAUUUAUGAACACCUUUUGUACCCUAUUUCUGGAAAUAAAUUAUAAUUAUUAACAUGCUAAAUAAAAAACUCUUGUACUGUAA